GAAAUAUAUUUUUUAAAUGCUCUGAUAAUGAAGGCAUGAUAGCAGGAAUAUAAUACCCUUAACCUGGCAAUUCAUUGCCCAAAAAACAAUUUUCCCAGAUGAUAUAUUGCCAAGAUUCAUGCUGCUGGAUGUGCAUAAAGAAGACAACACGUAUUGUUCUGCAACCACAAUCUAGUAUUACUAAACAAUAAAAAGACAGAUGUACCAACAGCCUUUGGAUUGACUAUAAUUAUUUAAAUUAUUUAAAAUAUCCUUAAAUAACUUCUCCCUAAACUUAUUUUCGUUUGAGUUUUUGAGACUGCAAUCCUUCCUCAAACUCUUCUCUUAAAGAAAUAUUUACACAUAUGAAAAAGAUGUAUUUGUAAGGAUGUAUAUUGUGACAUUGUUUGUAUAAUAAUAAAUUAUAAAUAAAGCUAAAUAUGUACUGAUAAGAGGUUAAUGAAUUAUGGUAAUUCAUAGUCACAAAUAAUAUUUAGCCACUAUAAAGAGUAAGAUAAAUCAAAACACAUUGACAUGAAAAUAUUUCCUAAGAGAGUAGGAGUAAAAAGGCAAAUAACAGAACAAUAUAUAUAUAACAUGAUAAUUUAUUAAAAUCAAAACAAUUACAUGUUUACAUAUAUACAUAUACAUGUGUACAUGUAUAUGUAUACACAUAUAUAGAUGUGUAAAGGUAAGAAAAACACUUUGGAAGGCUAUUGAUGUCUAUAGUUUUCCCUGUGGUAGAUAGCUGUAGUAUGAGUGAGCAGUAUGAAUGGGCACAGUAUCAGCUUUCUAACAGGAAAUUAAUUACAUAGCCUUAAAUCAGAAUAAUUUAAGGAGUGUUUAAUAAUUUACACAGCUGUGGGCUGGCUGUAUGGAAAGAGAUGGAGCAAUGCCAUGGGGUUAGAAACUGCUGAAGCUAUCCACAGAUCUGACAAAUAAGAGCAGAGAGUAGUUUCUGGAACCCAGUAGAAGAGAGUGGUGGGAAAAUGGCUGUUUUGAGACAACCUUUGGUCAAGACAUGCAGUCUCUGAUGACUGCUCAGGGAAGAAGUCAGACCAAUAAAAGAGAAUCUUACCCACUUGCCAUAAGAAUCUAAAUAGUUCAUGUUCAGAGGAGUGUGCUAGACACAUUUGGUUACCCACCUAGAAUCAAUUGCCUCUUCAUUGUUCUUAAAGGACCCUGUUUUUGUUUAGGCAUUCUCCAUUCUCCCAUGUAGCUGAACAAUGCCUCCAGGGCAGCUGCCUAUCCUGGUGCUGAUGAGAAUGGUCUAAGGGUUAUCCAACUGCCCUUUUCAGUGACACGGAAUAGUCAGGUGGUCCAAUCCAGCCAACAAGGCAAGAGGGAAAGCCCAUUGGAGAGCCUCUGAGAAAGUCUUUCUCAUUACAGAACCACAGAGUCAGACAGUCUGUUCUUCUCUGAGGGUGUCACAUCUGGAUAGAGUGGCUGAAGCUGCCGUACCCAGCUUGCUACAAGCACAGGGGAUGGCAGAGCUCAGAGAUGGGAUGACCCUGUGUUCUUGACGGAAUCAACCAGUCAUGCGGAUCCUGCUAUUUCUGGACUGGCUGUUAGGUGAGAUAAUGAAUUAUUUCCACAAUGCAUGCUUCGUGGAGCACAGGGAGACUCUUACUUGAGGACCUCGUUAUUUCUCACUGGGGCCAUGCUGGCGGCGUUCAAGUCAGGCUGCUCUCAGG
rnacentral:lncRNA from 1 species